rnacentral:rRNA from 1 species
UACGUAGGGUGCGAGCGUUGUCCGGAAUUACUGGGCGUAAAGAGCUCGUAGGUGGUUUGUCGCGUUGUUCGUGAAAACUCACAGCUUAACUGUGGGCGUGCGGGCGAUACGGGCAGACUGGAGUACUGCAGGGGAGACUGGAAUUCCUGGUGUAGCGGUGAAAUGCGCAGAUAUCAGGAGGAACACCGGUGGCGAAGGCGGGUCUCUGGGCCGUAACUGACGCUGAGGAGCGAAAGCGUGGGGAGCGAACGGG